rnacentral:lncRNA from 1 species
GGCUGGUCUCGAACUUCUGGUCUCAACUGAUCUGCCCACCUCAGCCUCCCAAAGUGCUGGGAUUACAGGCAUGAGCCAUCACGCCCAGCUGAUUGUAGAUUCCUCUCAAAAUGUGUCUUGCUUUUUCCUUUGUACUCCUUGUCCUCUGGCCUGUUGUCCCUGCUCUCUCCAUCACACCAUUCCCCUUGCCUGUCAGCUCAAGAGGGUUUGGGGGUGAGAUAGUGCAGCUGCUGAGUGCCCUAGGUUCAAAGUUUCAGUCUUUGGUCGACAUUAGUAUCUUAUGUGAAGCUUGUUAAACAUGCAAAUACUUAGGCCCCACCCCAGGUUUCCUGAAUCAGAAUCUCCAGGAUUUUCAGGGCUUCUGGCAGAUUAUAUGUGGUGAUUCUAAUGCAGUUUUAGUCUAAAUUAAUUAGGAAAUGCAGACUUUGGAGAGUAGCUGUGGUUGGGCAGUAGCCAUAUGGUGGUAACAGAAUGGGUUUCUGGAAUGCGUAUGGGGAUGAAGUGGCAACUGAUGAAGAUGUG